CCGCGGGUAGCCGCCGGAGGUCCCGAGGCCAAGGGCGCAGGAGACACUAGGAGAGGCAGGGCGAGCUGGGCGAGCAGGGAUGCUUCGUACGCUGGAGCCCAAGGUCGAUGCAGCGCUGGAUCCUGCCUUUCGGAAUAAGGAUGAUGUCACCCAGACGCCCACAGCGCUGACAUGGAAGCACGGGCCUUCUGCAGGCUCAGAUCAUCAGAGUGACACACCAAGCCGGCAGCAAAGGACACCGUCCUCGCCCGGGAUCCCAAGGUUAAGAAAGCGCUUUUCCAAAAACUUGGACUGCACAGUUCCUACACUGAAGGUUUUUGUUUUUUAGCUUACCAAAUGAGAAAGAAAUUUAAGACAACAACGCGCCAUCAACAAGUAUUCGGUGUACAUAUUAGGACUUCGGAGACACUGAGGAUGCAGCGGUGAGCAAAAGUAAACGGCUCUUUCCUGCAUGGAGCUCGGAGCUUAAUAAAGGGAGAAAGAAAGCAAAGCCAAUACAAGCAUUCAAAGGAAAUGAACUGACUCUAUCGUAAUAAAAAAAAAACUACAUAAUUUUUAAAUGACUCAUUUGUUUCCAUUGUGUAAAGAAAGCUCAGCAGAGUAUUUCCCACUUCUCUGUAAUUCUAAUCAUCUAUGUCUUUUCUCCCUACACGUUGCUGAGCCUGAGGCCUCCUUAGAAUGCAUACUGAAGAAAGCUGAUCAUGAAGCCUCCCCUCCGACUGCCUGGACUGCCUGGAAAUGAGCGAACGGGUACACUUUGUGCCUCCCAAUCAAACACUUGUCAAACAUAACUCAUCCUGAGGGAGAGCCAAGGCUGUGUUUUCUUCAUUUUCUGCUGGGUACUGUAUAUUCUAGAAGGAGCCAAACAAAUUCACAUUCAACUCACCAUACCAAGCAGUGUGCUUAGAAACCUAAAUUACUUGCUACCUAAUUCUUGGUGUGUAUGCAGGGACUUUUACCAUCCUGUGCAGACUCACUGUCUCUCUGAUUGCCCCUCUCUGGAGCACCUCCUGUGCCCCCAGGCUUCCAGGACAGCAUCCUCCUCUCUGUCUUCCAGAGGUGCUUCUUUACCUCUAGAGUGUGGGCUCCUUCAGAGCAGGCACCAUUCUUGGUCCUGUGUUCUACGCAGCCACCAAGUGUCCCGAGUCCAGUGCUGACCCGUGAUAGGAACCUAGCAAAUAAAUGUUAUGAAGGCGUUUGAAGACAAGCCACCUCAGAACAUGCCAGAUCAUCACCUUGCUAAUUUCACUCUGAAAUCCCUUCAGAAGGAGCCUCCCUUCCUGCAGCAAGACAGGGUUCUUUGGGGGAGGACCUACUUCACAGAGCAGUGCUGGGAGAUGCGCUUACUCUUUGGAGAUUGGUAAUUGAGAAUUCUGUAAGCCUGGAAAGACAAACUCCAAAGUAAUCCUUACCUUACUGUAGUCCCCUCCAUCCCCCCCCCCCCCCCGCCAUCUCUUUCCUAAUAACAACCCUAGAACGUAAUACUCUCUCAGAGACUGCUUCUGCCAUUUCUUCACAAAUUUAGUGUUCUUUGUCUAAAAUGUAUAAAAAUAUCAUGGUGUGGUCAUUCUGAAUUCUGCUCUUUUGUGAAGAUCCUAGGAAAUUAGUAAAAACUGCAUAAAUUUUUCUUGUGAAUCAGCUCUUGCAUUCAUUAAGUUACUCCAUCCACGUGAAAGCCCACAGAAAAGAUAGCUGCCAUUCACUGGGUUGGAUGUUGUUGCUACAUUAAUAACUCCUAUAUCACUGAGCUUUUUCACUUAUAGAUUAAAAUUACUGUUUAGCACAGGACUGAUUGCAUUGCCUUUAAUCAUGUUCUUAAAAAUAUUGACAUAAAAAUCUAUGGGAAAUAGUCUGUCUCCAAGAUUGAA